GGCUCCCAGGGGAGCGGGCGGGAGGAAGCGGAACUGGCCCUCAGUGGGUGCCUGGGUGGGCUGCCCAGCGGCUGGGGUGGCAGGAGAGUGAGGCCACCCCGUGUUCUGCAAGGGAGCGCGCGCGUGGGUGGGUGGGGGAGGGGGGGGCUAAGGGCCCGCACCCUGGGCUGGCGAGGCGCUGCCAAGGCAGGUAGCAGCAAUUCGCGCCCCCCCGGGAGCCGAGCGGCUCCGCUCCGGGGACAAGUACCGCGGCACCGGAGCGUAAGCCGGCCACGGGGAGGGUGUGCCCGCGGCGGGGGCGGUGGGGGCAGGAUUAGAGGGAAGCGGCGGCCCCGCCCUCCCCCUUCACACUGGGUUAGAGCCGAGGGGGAGAUGGCCCGGGAGAGGCGGCACUGGCACCAUGACAUUACCCAGCCUGCUGGUGGCUCUGAUUUUAGGGACGAGCCCCGCAGCGGGCAGCUUUGACGCGGCCUCUCUCAACCCUCCCCUGGCCCCUGCUCGUGGCCCGCAGCAUCCCCGCUCGCCCCACGCCCCGCCGGCCCCCCAGCACCAGCCCGGCUGCCCAGGGGGCGAAGGGCCCGGGGGGCGCUUUGUCAACGUGACCGAGUUCGGCGCCGAGUGCCUGCCCUGGGCGGAGGUGCCCGCUUUCCUGCAGAAGACCCCGCAGGGGAAGGGGCUGCGGGGCCAGCACAACUUCUGCAGGAACCCCGACGGCAGGAGCAGACCCUGGUGCUUCUACCGGAACAGCCGGGGCAGGGUGGAGUGGGGCUACUGCGACUGCAAACAAGGGUCAGUGCGACUUCGAGGUGGCAAGAAUGAGUUUGAAGGCACAGUUGAAGUUUAUUUGAAUGGAAUUUGGGGAACAAUCUGCAGCAGUCAUUGGGACAAUAAUGAUGCAUCAGUCAUAUGUCGGCAGCUUGAGCUUGGCAAAAGAGGUACAGCAAAGCAUAUGCCAUUUUCUGGACUGGGCCUUAUCCCUAUUUACUGGAGUGAUGUACGUUGCCAUGGUGAUGAAGAAAAUAUACUGCUGUGUGAAAAAGACAUCUGGCAGGGUGGAACAUGUCCUCAAAAAAUGGCAGCAGCUGUCAUGUGUAGCUUUUCCCAUGCCUUUAUUCCAAUCCGUCUGGCUGGUGGAAGCAAUGCUCAUGAAGGAAGAGUGGAAGUCUACCACACUGGCCAAUGGGGAACUGUCUGUGAUGACCAGUGGGAUGAUGCAGAUGCUGAAGUUGUCUGUAGGCAGCUUGGCCUUGGGGGAGUAGCCAAGGCAUGGAGCCAGGCUUACUUUGGAGAAGGCUCAGGCCCAGUGCUGCUGGAUGAAGUACGUUGUACAGGGAACGAGCUGUCCAUAGAAGAGUGUCCAAAGAGCUCCUGGCGAGACCACAACUGUGGCCACAAAGAAGAUGCAGGAGUUUCCUGCACACCUCUUACAGAUGGUGCAAUAAGACUAGCAGGUGGGAAAGGCAGUCAUGAAGGACGUCUGGAGGUACAUUACAGCGGGCAGUGGGGCACAGUCUGUGAUGACGGGUGGACUGAAAUGAAUACACAGGUGGUUUGUCGGCAGCUGGGAUUUAAGUAUGGAAAAAGUGCAUCAGAAAGCUACUUAGAAGAGAGGACUAGGCCUAUCUGGCUGGAUGAUGUCAGCUGCUCAGGAAAAGAAUCAACCAUUCUUCAGUGCUCAAAGAGAGAGUGGGGAAAGCAUGAUUGCAACCAUCAGGAGGAUGUCAGAAUAACCUGUCACCCAGAUAAUGACAGCCAUAGAUUCUCACUGGGUCCUCCCAUCAGGCUGAUGGAUGGUGAGAAUAAGAAAGAAGGACGUGUGGAGAUUUUUAUCAAUGGCCAGUGGGGCACAAUUUGUGAUGAUGGAUGGUCUGAUAAGGAUGCAGCUGUGGUCUGUCGACAGCUUGGCUACAAAGGCUCAGCUAGAGCAAGGACUAUGGCAUAUUUUGGAGAAGGGAAAGGACCAAUCCAUGUGGAUAAUGUGAAAUGUACAGGAAAUGAGAGAUCCCUGGAAGACUGCAUAAAACAGGAUAUUGGAACACACAACUGCCGUCACAGUGAAGAUGCUGGCGUGAUUUGCGACUACUUUGGCAAGAAAGCAUCCGGGAACAGUAAUAAAGAUUCCCUUGCUUCUGUUUGUGGAUUGAGGUUACUGCAUCGUCGACAGAAGCGGAUAAUUGGUGGGAAAAAUUCUUUAAGGGGCGGCUGGCCCUGGCAUGUUGCCCUCCGACUGAAAUCAUCUCAUGGUGAUGGAAGACUCUUAUGUGGCGCCACACUCAUCAGCAGCUGCUGGGUGAUCACUGCAGCACACUGUUUUAAGAGGUAUGGCAACAAUACUCGGAACUAUGCCGUGCGAGUUGGGGAUUAUCACACGCUGGUUCCUGAGGAGUAUGAGGAGGAAAUUGGAGUCCAACAGAUCGUGCUGCACAAAGAAUACAGGCCUGACAGCAACGACUAUGACAUUGCACUAGUGAGGUUGCAGGGACCAGACGAACAGUGUGCCAGAUUCAGCACCCAUGUCUUACCUGCAUGUUUGCCACUGAGGCGAGAGCGGCCACAGAAAACUGCCCCCAGCUGUUACAUCACUGGGUGGGGUGACACAGGAAGGGCCUAUUCAAGAACGUUACAACAAGCUGCCAUUCCCCUACUUCCUAAGAGACUUUGUGAAGAGCGUUAUAAGCGAAGGUUCACAGGGAGGAUGCUCUGUGCUGGAAACCUCCAAGAACAGAAACAUGUGGACAGUUGUCAGGGAGACAGUGGUGGACCACUCAUGUGUGAACGUCCAGGGGAAAGCUGGGUUGUGUAUGGGGUGACUUCCUGGGGUUAUGGCUGUGCAAUCAAAGACUCUCCAGGUGUUUAUACUAAAGUCUCAUCCUUUGUACCCUGGAUAAAAAGUGUGACCAAAUUGUGAUCAGCGUGACUCAGAAAAAGUAAGCAUUAAUAAAAGGAAGUUUCUGAGUCAAACGGGGCAGCUUGAACAGCACAGCCAAUGCACAGCUGGGGCCCACACUGGGUGGGAAAUGGACACAUUAUUCUGUUUUGCAUGUUUUUAUUUUUGUUGAAUCAAGGAUGCAUAUUCAUACUACUUGUACAGUUACAGAUUAAUGUGAAAUUUCCUUCAGGUUGAGCAAAAGUUUAUAUUUGCAUGGAAAAAUGCAAUAUAAAUAAAGUUGGAGGGGAAAAGGGGCCAACAUUUUACUCCAAUAUUGGACUGGGAAAAUUUGAGAGUUCAGUAUACUAGUUACUCCCCACGAGAAGACUGCACUGGCAUUUAUGCUUCAGGUUCCUCCCAGAAUUACUUAUAAUCCUCACUUCCAGCGUAACCUAUUUAGGUUGAUGGUUGCCCCAUUUAGAACUCCUCUAAUUUUAAAAAAAGGCAUUGUCCUUCUAUUCUGUCUCAUCUAUAUUUCAGGUAUAAGCACAGCACAGGCUUUGCAUACACAGGUCACAUUUGUCACUGGACCAUUCUUAGUAACACUUCACUAGAGCAGAUUGAUUGCAAGACCUGCCAAUAAUUAAAACCCAAUUCUUCAGAACAAAUGUCCACACAGGUUAGCAUCCCCCACUCCCCAAAUAAUGCACAAUGUCCAAGUACAACUGGUCAGUGCAGCAGGGUAGAGUAAAAUUCCUGCAAAUAAAGUGCCCUGUACACCUACGUGUGCCAGAUUAAAAAAUAAAAGGGGGUGGGAGAGGUAGGGGCAUAUUUGAAUUUCAGAAACACAGAGUAUCUUCAUUUAAAGAAAUGCCAAAAAACAGGGCACAUGCUAUUUUUGGUGGGAAUUACAUUGUCCUAUCCUGACAUCCACUACUAACUGGCCUAAAGGACACAGAAUAAGCCAAAAAUUUUCCUUGAAUAAAAAUGAAGGUUACUUAUCUAUAACAGGAGUUCUUUGAGAUGGGUCUGCAUAUUCACACUUAUAGGUACUCACUGCCUUAUGGUGCCUUACAGCAAACACCUCUUCCAACAGUGUCAGCUAGAGCAGUGUUUCCCAACCUGUGUGCCAAAGCAUUGAUGUGCCAUCAUGCUCAAACAGGUGUGCCGCAGAAUUUUUUGAAAAAGUAAGUGUGAGGACAUGGGGGAAAGCCACCUUCUAGUUGGCUGUCUCCCUCACUGCCCUGCCUCCUCCAGGGAUGGAGCAACCAAUCAGAGCUCAAUCUCCUGCUCCUGUGUGAGCAAGGGGUUGGCUUCUCUGUCCCUCCCACGCCCUGCUGUAGCCACCAGGUGGCGGGAAGAGCCCCUGGAGGUGAGGUGUGCCAUGGCAAAGAAAAAUUGGGAACCACUGAGCCAGAGUGCUCCUGUAUCCCUCACCCUCCCCACAGCAUCACAACGCACUGAGCACGAGGCUAUAAGGGGGUGGAGUGCCCUCACCACCUCAGUUCCUUCCACUGCAAAGCAAGAGACAAGGAAUAACAAGGACUCUGUCAGAGAAGGGAAGGUAGAAAGCAUGAAUACACAAGAAGAACUCCAGAUACAAUAAGUAACCUUAAUUUAUUCUUUGAGUGGUUCUGCAUAUUCCCACUUAAGGGACAGACUGAUAAGACCUGCUGAAACUAACCUGGAAGCAGAAACAAAUUCCUAGUUGAAUAGAUUGAGGCACCCUCUUGCCAAAUCUGGCAUCCAGGCUAGAAGCCAAGUCCAGACCAUAGUGUCAGGUGAAAGUCUACACCUAAGUCCAGGUUGCAGCUUUGCAAAUUUCAGCAUCUGCCUAAGGCAAAGGAAGUAGCCAGAGCUGUAAUGAAAUGCUAUUGGAUUGCAGCAGGUACAGGGCCUUUUGCCAAUGUGUAGAACUCAGCAGUACAUUGUUUAAUCCACUUAGAACUACCUUGUCCUUAUGAAAAGUAGUAAAAAAUGCGAGUCAGCCACAAGGGCAUUCAAUUCACUUACUCUCCUGACUGAUGCAAGGGCAAUAAUGAAAACCGCACAGGCAAACAUGGCUGCUCAAGAGCGGACAGAUUCAAAGUCCAUUCAUGCACACCCAUUGUAGGUACAGCCUGGCAGCUACAUAAUACCAAUACCUGCAACAUAUUUCCUUGCAGAUAAUCCAUCCAAUUCCUAAUCAGCUUGUUCAUGUUACAUUUAUGACAUGAGAAAAAAAAUUAGAGCCCAAGGCCGAAUGACUGCAGGUUAGUCCUUUCAAAUUCUAAGGUUUUUUUCUUUUCACAAUGCAUUACUAAAAAAUAAUAUAAUAGCCAGUUUUCAUAGACCUCUACCCCAAAAAAACAUUCACACCUGUUUCCUCAGCUGAUUCUCUAAUAAAUACUACUCUCAAGACUAUAGAAACCUAUGAUUAAACACUAUAAAAAGUGAAAAAAAGCAACCCUUAUUGUUGUGACAAUACAAGUAUUAAUGAUGCAAAAUUAUAAAUUAGUCCAUAAGGAAUGGUCACUACAUUAUUACAUUGUUAUACUAACCUUUCUUUGUUAGUAGUCUCAAAAUUAUUCAAGAUAAACACAAAACUUGUGCUAUUUCUAGGAUGCAUGGAAUGCCCAUUAGGGCAUUCUAAAUUGUUAUACACAAAUAUUUUCUUUGCUCAUGACAUUUUUGGCAAACUAUCACUUUUUAAAAGAUGUAAUGAAACCUCUGUAGGCCAAGGAACAUUUGUGUGUGUGAAAUGUGGCCAUUCAGUGUCAUCAAAUUGCCAAUGUGUGAUUGUACAAUAUUGUGACAAGUAACUACUAUUUAAUAGUAUGUGGUUCCCUUCCCCACUCUGGAAAUUCCAGUUGUGACAAUGUGUUGUGGCCUUUUGUGCACAAAAUGCAAUGCUUGUACUAAUGUUUGAUAGAUGUGUAACUAUGUGUUACACUCAUGUCUGUAUGUGUCCAUCUACACGUUCAAUUCUGUUACUGUUAUCCAAUUUCACACCUUAGUUAGCAUGCAAAAGAGUUGUGGCAAUAUUAUAGACUCCCUACAUGUGAUUUAAUUCUUAUUCAGACUUGGCCCUCAAUUUAAUGGCAAUGAAUGUGUUUUAAAGGGCCAUUCCCAAUAUAAACAUCUUGUUGGAAUUGGUGCUAUAUUAGUAUAAUCAGGUGCGUUUAUACAGUAUUUGUACAACUUUCUGUAAUUUUGCACUAUUUGGAGAAUAUAAAACACUGUAUGUUAGAAAUGCAAAUAAAUAUAUUGGGU